rnacentral:tmRNA from 1 species
GGGGCUGACCGGUUUUGACAGUAGGUGUAAGGACUGGGCUCGCAUGCAGGCUGGAGUAUGUACGGCCUUGAAAGAUUCAUACGAACAUAAUUGGCGAAACUUCUUACGCCAUGGCUGCCUAAUCUAACCCUACGGGGAUAGAUAUCGCUUAAAGGGUUGAAGUCCAAGACGGAUUUCCCCGGCCACAUCCCACCAUCUGUUGCGCUGUCCGGGUGGAUUUGGGGUGUCGACAAGACAGUGAUGCGCUCUGCGAGGCUACUAAGCAGGGCUAAGACAAGUGGCUAAGUCAAGUAUAGGUGUGUCACCCAGCAGUACUUGAUCGAAAACCCAACAGGUGACUAAGCAUGUAGACGGUACGGUGUUUCCCUAUCUGGACGCGGGUUCGAAUCCCGCCAGCUCCACAA